GGUGUGGCAGGAAAGGAAGGGCAACAAGCCCCCCUCUUUCUCCAUUGUCUCUUUGUCAGCUAGAAAAGGUGGUGAUGGCUGCUCAACAUGUUUUUUUUGGGGGGGGGGCUCUGUUAUGUGCAGAGAAGAGGAAAGAGAGCUGACUGUGAAUCUGAAAGAACCAUGUGGUUAUUGUCAAGCCUUGAAAUUGAGGCCGGGCUUUCUUGGCGGUGGUGAUGGGAAGAAGGAGUUUAGGUGAGGCUCCAUCUAAGGCUGCAAUCUACACAAACAUACCUAGGAGGACGUCCCAUUGGACUUCUGAACAGACAUUCCUAGGACUUCCCUGCAAGCUAAUUGAAAAGACAAUAAUUUGUGAGGAAGAAAGGGAAUUGACGCUGAAGAAGAGAAGGGAGCUCUUCCAAGGCACAGGGGAAUAAAUGGGCUUCUGGAAGUUUGUUUGCUUUUUUGAGAAUCAGGAGCUGUGGUGUUAUCCACUUAAGCUGUAAUUUUAGUUGUCAAAUCUGGCUUGUCACGCUUUUGGGUAAUGGCUUGAGGCAGCCUUUGUUUUAGAGCUGAUAAAGCAGCACUUUCAAACAGCAAGCAGCAGCCACAACAAAGUAAUCUAGCAAGGCUUGUGCUCUCCUUGAUUUCAUCCCCUCUAAGAUAUGUUGCAUUUUUACAAACCUAUUGGCCAGCCAGCACAAGUCCAAUGAAGUGUCUCUUGCUCAUUGUACAGUGAUUAUUUUCUCUCUCUGUAUACACACACAUAGACAUACACAGACACACUAAACGCAUGCAUAUACUGUACGUACAUAUAUACAGUUUCUUAUAACAUUAUAGGGCUGAAUAUUUUUUUGACAACAUGUACCAUAUUUUUCGUUCUAUAAGACACACUUUUUCCCCUCCAAAAAUUAAGGGGAAAUGUGUGCACAUCUUAUGGAGUGAAUGCAGGCUCCUUGGCUUCAGCGAUAGCAACGUGAAGCCUCCGAAGCGCAGAGGGAGCGCUCCCUCCGCGCUCCGGAGGCUUCGUGUUGCUUUCGCUGAAGCCUGGAGAGCGAGAGGGGUUGGUGUGCACCGAUCCCUCUUGCUCUCCUGGCUUCGCUUCGCUGGAGAGGCGCUGCACAGUUUUCCCUCUCUGCGCAGCGCCCCUUCAGCGAAGCAGGAGGAGAAAUGGAAGGGGCUCUGUUUCUCCUGCUGCUUUGCUGAAGGGGCGCUGUGCAGAGAGGGGGAGAAUUUUUUUCCUGUUCUCCGCCUCUAAAACAAGGUGCGUCCUAUGGUCGGGUGCGUCCUAUAGAGCGAAAAAUACGGUAGAUACUUAUCAGAAUGCAAUGUGCGUAGGCAUUUAGGCACACUUAUUUAUUUAUUUUAAAAGGUGUACACCUACAAAUGCAGAAAGGUCUUUGAAAACAGUGUGGCUUCCGGGUGAGGGUACAUUUGGUGGCAAACUCAAGUUUGGUGCUGUAUAGUGCAUGAAAUGAUUCUCAGAUUCCCAAAACCUUCUGCUGUUCUUUUAAUAUGUAGGUGGGGCUGGACUUGAACUUCCAUGGCACUUGCAGCUCCUUCUUAACAUCAUUGCCAAGAGAUGUCCUCUCUGUACAGCAAGGGGGCAUUUCCUCUGACCAUUCAUUCAUUUUUACAUCAUUAUAGUUACAUGUCCUUGGAGAAAAACUGUUGCAGAGUAUUGUCAUCACUGCAUAACAACUCACUUCUCCAUCACCCCGUUACAGCUCUCUUUUUUUUCAAAAAGAUGAUGAAGCUGAUGAAGAAAGACCCUUUUUUCAGUGGCGAUAACUCCAAAGCAACAGUUCCUUGGUAAGGAUGGGAAAGAAAGCUGAUUAAGUUUGCUUUAAAGGCAAAUCUAACAAAAAUGAAAUGAAAUGAAAUACAUACUUUUCAAAACAAUAUGCCAACCAAAGCACAGGCACCCCUUUAAAAACUCACACUUUUCAGUUUUUCAGUCAAAAAUGCAUAUAUUAAAGUGUCCAUAAAAAUGCAUAAAUUGGUGAAAAUAACAUACAAAAUGCAUUGUAUUAGCCAGGGAAAUUGCUAUGCAAAAAAUUGUUUAUUAGGAGAAAAAUCACAGUAAGAUACUGAUUAAUAGUCACAAUGUCUGUUUUUUUAAUUUAAAAAAUGCAAAUGGUUGCAGAAAUGUGGAGAACUCACUGAAAAAAUUGAAAAAUGAGAAAUUCAGACAAUGGAAAUUGAUAGAUGUAGUGCACAAUUUCAUCUUUAGUAUGAUUGCGCCCCUAUCUCAUGGUGCCAUCAGCGGAAAGCUUCAAGACGAUGCCUCAUUCUGCAGAAUGAACAGGAGGCCCACCUAACAGAGCAGGGCGGGAUUACUGGGCUUUGGAGUAAGUGAGCUAAUAUACAUAACCAUCUGAAGGGGGGAGGUAGGGAGGUGUUUCAGUCAUUUUGUGGUCUGAAGAUUAUGGUUCUUUUGGUUUUAGAGACUGUUCUGUUCUAGUAGUUGGGGGAACAGCAACACAUGCCCUGACAUAUAAAUUAGUACAUUAAAAUGUUACGCAGAUUUGUUUCUUAUGGGGCUGUGACCUGAAUCUUUUACGUACCCAGGAAUGUGCCUCCCACACACCCCAGGAGCAUUGCCAGUGCCAGCACAGUGAAAGCUCUUCCUUGACCGACUGCUGCUCAGUUGCUGGUACUGGAUCAAGAAAGAUGGUGGGAACUGAACCUUAGUGGGAAAACUGGUACUAACUGGACUUCAUAGAGGGCCCCCCAACUUCAGAUUUCCCUUUGUCUCUUUGCCUUUUACAUGACCCAGAAACUCCACCUCUCCUUCUGCUACCUGUCAUUGCAAUGCUGCAAGAUGACACAUGUUCUCACAUGUCUUACACUUUGGGAAGAGUGUGAUUCUGUAAUGACAAAUACAAGGAAGUACUAAUAACAUUAAAUAGUGCAAUGAAAUACAUUGUGCAAAGCACAGCAAGAAAGGCUGCAGACACAACAUAUAUUUAAAGCAUGUUUCUGCUGCCCCACCCCCAAAGAAUAAUGGAAACUGCAGUUAUGGAUGCUGGGAACUGUAGCUCUGUGAGGGGCAAUCUAUAGUUCCCAGGAUUCUUUGUGGGGUGCUUUAAAUGUAAUGGUGUGUAUUGCAAUUUUCAAAAUUAGAUUGGGUGGGGGAGGCAGGGACAGCACACACAGAGAGAAUGUGGCCUGUGCUUCUAACCAUAACCAGAUCUCCACUGUGGUCCAACCAGAUCUUCAUGUGAUUAUUCACAUGCAAGUAAAUGUUACAGCCAUAAAGUGAGAGUGAUGGUGAACUUCUCAUGCUAACAGGAGCAGGCAGGAGAGGGGACACGGCAAUAUAUACGGUACUCCUUUUAGCAUAGGAAGCUAACUUCCAUCCCACACUAAUAAAUAUAGGCAGGUUCUGGUUUGGCCCUGAAAGAAAAUGAUGGCACCAGUCACUUAAUACGCAGGAGCAGAAAGCAGGUAACGCCCAUCUCCCUGCUGUGCUCAGUGCAGAGAAGCCCUGGCAAAGCUGCUCUCAAAGACAGUACAACAAUUUAAUUGAGGCAGAAGUGCCUUCACUUUGCAACUAAUCUUAGACCAAUACUCCCUAGAACCUCAGUUCCACAUUGGUCCCCGCUAGCCUAUAUUGCAGACUUGAGGAUGUAGCGAAUCGGCUGGGGCUUGGUACCAAUAGUACAACGAGUAUUGAAAGGAGGAGGAGGAGGAGGAGGAGACCUUGCCCAAUUCUUGCACAUACUGAUGCACAGAAUUUAUUUAUUCAUUAUAUUUGUAUUCCCCAGAGGUAACAAAUACAGGUGGCUUCCAGAUGUUUUAGGAUUCUGCCAGCAGGGCCAAUGGUCAAGCAUGAUGGGAAUUGUAGUCUAUAAUAUCUGGACAGAACCAGGUUGGCUUUCCUCAUACACUCCUUGUCAACAAUGUCCUUAAGCUGCCAGAACAAAGAAUGUACCCAGAAAUUCAUGGCAUCCUAUGUACAAGUUCUUGAGAUAUUUCCAAACAGAUAGGUUAUAAAGAUAGUGCUCUCUCCCUCCCUCCCUCCCCCCUCAUUUUUCAGUGAAAUAUUCUGAUUAGAAUUAUUUCCUUUCCACCUUAAUGUUUUAUUUUCAAUUUCCUUGGAACAAAUUUCCAUGCAAACAUUCGUAACGAAUGUGGUAUAAUGCCUGGCCUGUUUUCCCUCCUGCUAAACCCCACCUCUUCUCUCAGUUCACAGAUAUUAGUGCACCAGGAUCUUCUAAGCCUGCCAAACCCAGCUUGCUCAUUUCUGCUUGCAUUAGUGACUUCACAUUGCUAGCUGUGUGAUCCAGGCAAAACGCCAAAAGAAUUGCAAGAUGGUCGCUUGAGGGUAAAAGAUCAAAGCGACUUUCAGAAAACUUUCCUCUGCUUUCAGCUCCUUCUAGGCUUGUCAUGGAUGUUUGUCAUAGCAGGAAUGUGUCACUCAUGUGUUAUCACACACGUUUUAGUGUAAUGCGGGAAUUUAUUGCAUCCUUCUGUCAAUCCAGUCGUCAGCCAGUGGCUCACUGCUAAGGUAAAUAUAUGUUGAAACGGAUCAACUCUUCAGUGAUUCAUUAAAUGACAUUAGCAUACCAAACGCCUUAGCAUUUCAGUCUGGGCGUUGCUAACUGGGAAACAGUUGCUUAAUGCCGAAGUUUAGUCAUACAUGGUGACCCAGAUGAUUCUUUGAUUUACAUUAUGUGACGUCCUUUGAAACAUGUGACUGGGAAAGCAGCAGUCUUACGUUGCAUUGUGCUUAUGGGUGUGAAACCACACUAUGAUAAGAGCAUAUUUCAGCCUGGGAAGAGGAGAUGGAGGCAGAGACUUGGUUGAAGUCUGGUCCUAUUCAGGUUUACUUGGAAGUAAAUCCCACAGGAUUCAAUGGGACUGGUGCAUCAGGGCAUCAUAUCACAAUCUCUGCCUGCCAUGCACUUUUUUCUCUAGGGGGAAAGAAAAAGAUGAUGUCACGAAGCUGUCUCCCUGCCACUAGUCCCCCUCGUCUCCAGCAUUUGUGGCUGUCUUCACAAAGAGGCCAUUUGUGGUUUGCUCCUGCAGUACCUUCUCUCAGUGCUGCCAGAGCAAAUAGGGAGAUACUUCCUUGCAGAGGCAGCCACAGUUCAUGCUGAGGUCCAGACAGGGAGGUGUGGAGGGGGACACAACAGUUGCUUCUUCAUUUCCAACCCAGACAGAGUAUAAGAUGACAACAAAGAAAAGUAACCCUGUGCACAGUUACAUGGGAGUAAUUCAAUACGACAUACAUGCACAUAAGACUGAGGUGCUCUACCAGCCAAAAUAUGGGUUGUUGGACCCUUGAUCAUUGUGCGUAACCUGGUGUUUAUAUAAACAGGAGCACAAGAGUGACCAAAAUUUGGUUUUGAACUGUUCCUUCUGAUACGGCACCUUUCCUGAGCUUUUUGUGAAAAUGGUUCUCCGUGCCAUAAUAAAGCAAUAAAGUCAUCACAGGAGAACUCUAGCAUUUUCCAAGCAAGUGCCAAUCAGACCCC
rnacentral:lncRNA from 1 species